rnacentral:rRNA from 1 species
AAUCAACGCUGGCGGCGUGCCUCAGACAUGCAAGUCGAACGAUUAAAGCUCUCUUCGGAGAGUGUAUAGAGUGGCGCACGGGUGAGUAACACGUAAGUAAUCUACCUUCGAGUGGGGAAUAACGUCCGGAACGGACGCUAAUACCGCAUAAUGCAGCGGCAUCGCAAGAUGACAGUUGUUAAAGAUUUAUUCGCUUGAAGAGGAGCUUGCGGCAGAUAGUCUAGUU